rnacentral:lncRNA from 1 species
GAAGUAGCCCUGUUCAGAAUGGGGCUCAAGGGAAGUGUACUGUUUGAUAGAGGCGCAUGACCUGAAAAGCACUCUCCACUUUGUUUUCCUCUGGUUUUGAAUGCAGUUUAUCCCGUCUUAAAUUUUAUCGAUUAUUUACGUAAAAAAAUACCUAAAGUUGUAUAUGAGGAAAGUUGUUUGAAAUGUUUGGACAAAGAUUACAGGUAACUUGAGAUAUUUUGUAGUCAUGUUGCGCGAGUUGGAACCGGUGUUUUUCUGGAUCAAACGCGCCAAAUAAAUGGACAUUUUGGAUAUAUAACGACGGAAUUAAUCGAACAAAGGACCAUUUGUGAUGUUUAUGGGACAUAUUGGAGUGCCAACAGAAGAAGCUCGUCAAAGGUAACAACCAUCGGCUGGUUGGGAUGUCAGGAAUGGAUUGAGGCGAAACAACAUUGUAACUGCUAAUGUGCAGGUGAGCAGUCUGUCUGGAAUUGAAGAGCGCCUGAUCUAAAGACUGGAUCCCUCUCACUGAGCGCCGUCUCUGACAUAGCAAGGAGAUUUGGAAACUACGGAAGGCUAUAUUCAACCAUUGUGUGAGCAACCAUGCUGCAGCACCAGAGGCUAGAGGGGUUGUGUACAGUACAUCAGAGGUUGGCAACCCUGGUCCUGGAGUGCUGCAGGCUCUUCAUGUUUUUGAUUAACCGACCUGGAAGAACAGGAAUCUCCAAAUGUUGAACGAGCACCUCGGAUGAAGGAUGGGGAGGAAAACAGACAGCUUCUUUCGACCACACCUUCGCAAAGCUUCUGCAGUGGUGGAUGGACUCAUGCAUGCCAACCGAAUUAAAAUCUCCUCCAAUAUCUGACAUUGCACCUGGAGACACUGAACAUCAGAGACCAAUGCAUUACCUUGCCUGGACCAUGGAGAUCAGUCCCAUUCACUCAUACAUCAUGGUGACAGCUCAAAGCAAUCUCUCAGCCACGUCUGGGAAAAUAGGUGAAGAGAGAACCUGGAAAGAACUG